AAAAAUUCAGUGUUGGAAAAAGUUUAGAGAGUUUACUAAGUAGGCAAAAUAUUUAAAUUUAAAAUGAAGAACUUACUAUUGCUGCUGCUGCUAGUUCUUGCGAUGUCUAAUCUAUCAAUUGCACUCGCACCUGAUGCUGACCCUAACCGCCCUCCUCCUAUUGCUUGGACCUAUGACUUAUUAUCUAUACAUAAAACAACGCCAAAACCACCUGUUUACGCAAAGAAAUGAGUAAGAUAAAGAGGUGAUUAAAAAUGUCGCACAGUAUUAACUGCCUUGAUGAAUGCCAAAAAUCAAUACAACUUUAUUAAACUGUACUAUUGUCGAGAAAAUUUGUUUCUAUGAUCGAAAUAGAUGAUAUGUCUUAUGUCUAAA